UGGGGAAUCUUGCACAAUGGGGGCAACCCUGAUGCAGCGACGCCGCGUGAGCGAUGAAGCCCUUCGGGGCGUAAAGCUCUUUCGACCGGAACGAUAAUGACGGUACCGGGAGAAGAAGCUGCGGCUAACUACGUGCCAGCAGCCGCGGUAAUACGUAGGCAGCAAGCGUUGUUCGGAGUUACUGGGCGUAAAGAGUGCGUAGGCGGUUUUCUAAGUUCGGUGUGAAAUCUCCCGGCUUAACUGGGAGGGUGCGCCGAAGACUGGGAAGCUGGAGUGUGGGAAAGGCAGGCGGAAUUCCUGGUGUAGCGGUGAAAUGCGUAGAUAUCAGGAGGAACACCGGCGGUGUAGUCGGCUUGCUAGACCAUAACUGACGCUGAGGCACGGAAGCGUGGGUAGC
rnacentral:rRNA from 1 species